rnacentral:rRNA from 1 species
UACGGAGGGUGCGAGCGUUGUCCGGAAUCAUUGGGCGUAAAGGGCGCGUAGGUGGCGGGACAAGCGUGCGGUGAAAGCCUGGGGCUCAACCCCGGGAGGCGGUGGAUACUGUCAAGCUCGAGUCCGGAAGAGGAGUGUGGAAUUCCUGGUGUAGCGGUGAAAUGCGCAGAUAUCAGGAGGAACACCAAUGGCGAAGGCAGCUCGCUGGAACGGUACUGACGCUGAGGCGCGAAAGCGUGGGGAGCGAACAGG